AACCACUUAACUUAAUGGUUAGAGUAUCACUUUCAUACAUCUAGAGUCAUUGGUUGAAAUCCAAUAGUAGGUA
rfam:Picea glauca, whole genome shotgun sequence.